rnacentral:lncRNA from 1 species
CAUGGCUCUUAGAUCUGUCACCAGGCUACCUAGCACCUACUUUUAAAUCAAUCCUGUCCUGCUGGCUUUGACCUGGCUGAUCCUCUCUCUCCAAGGGUACUUCCUGCUCAGAACUGAUACAUACAAUCAGCUUCUCCGACCAACUAUUGUUAACCCUUGGGCUGCUGGGUUCAGCACCCGGCUGGCUGGGAGAGCAAAGCAGCACCAGAAGGCAUGUGGGAGAGCUGGCAGCUUAGCAGCUCGCGUUCCCUGGAUGAAUUUGUGCCUGCUCCCAGUCAGAGCUGAGCUGCCCCCAGAGUGAGAGCUGCACAAGGCUCCCAAACCACCACCUGGAAAGGUAGCUGGAGGCUGCACAUAGAAACUCUCAUUGCUUUGGGAGAUGGAACAUCUGUACAAGCUUGGCCGGCCCCAUCUGUGGAUGCAGGUGCUGUAGCAUGCGUGAUCUGCCUUCGG